rnacentral:rRNA from 1 species
AGUGAACGCUGGCGGUAGGACUAACACAUGCAAGUCGAACGAGUGGAGGAAGGGUGAGGAAUACAUCGGAAUCUACUCUGUCGUGGGGGAUAACGUAGGGAAAAUUACGCUAAUACCGCAUACGAUCGAAUGAGCCGAUGUCGGAUUAGCUAGUUGGCGGGGUAAAGGCCCACCAAGGCGACGAUCCGUAGCUGGUCUGAGAGGAUGAUCAGCCACACUGGAACUGUGACACGUUCCAGACUCCUACGUGAGGCAGCAGUGGGGAUUAUUGGACAAGGGGCGCAAGCCUGAUCCAGCCUUACCGCGUGUGUGAAGAAUGCCUUCGGGUUGUAAAGCCCUUUUGUUGGGAAAUCGGUACCCAAAGAAUAAGCACCGGCUAACUUCGUGCCAGCCGCCGCGGUAAUAC